GACAAGAAACUCAGAAGAAGGAAGAACACGCCUACGGGACAAGAAACUCAGAAGAAGGAAGAACACGCCUACGGGUCAAGAAAGUUCAGAAGGAGGAAGAUCACGCGCCGACAACAUGUUGGGGUUCGUGUUCCGGCGUCUGCUGCACCGCGGGAUCUUGGCCGGCCGCCGUGUGGCCACGGUGCCACCGCCAGCUCCUCGUCCUCGUCUCUUCUCCAUCAGCCACCUUCCUCAGGUUUGCAUCGCAUCUGUAAUCGACCAGUUCGCUUUUCUUCUUCUCUCUUUUCUAAUUUAUUUUAUCCAUUGCAGGGUCAUCGGCCACCGGUCCAACCGACGCUUCUCAUGCCUGAAGUCAACGCAGCGACGCCAUCGUUGGGGUAGGCUGUACUUCUUCCUCGCUUUAAGCGGAUACUACAUCGUUGAUCAACGCAUGAGACAGCAUAAGGAGAAAGCAAUGGACGGUUCCACCAUAGACACUUUCGGUUCGUCUUGUCCAUAGUAUGAAGUAGGAGGUUGUUUCUAAAACACUGUAAUUUUUGAAGUAAUGAAGUAAGGGUUUU
rnacentral:lncRNA from 1 species